GAGAGUAGUGUUUUUUUGCCCCUUUUUUCCCUCAGUUUUCCUACAGUCCCUCUGGGCUGAAAGGAAAGGCUUUCCUCACAUCCUCCUUUGUAUUGGUUACAUUCCUGCUGCUGUGAUAAAAUACCCUGACAAAAGCAACUUCAAGGUCCAGUCAGUCCAGCAUGGUGAGGAAACCUGGCAGUUGGUCACACGCACUAGAGAAUAGUGAAUGCUCCGCUCACCUUUUCCCACUUCAGGGAGCGGAGCCACAAGCACGGCUGAUGAUGGGUCUUCCGGCUUCAGUGACCUCAUCAAGAUUCUAGGUCUCAUCAACUGGAUGCUCAGCUGUUACAGCAUCUACUGUAGACUUAGCUUCCUCAGUGCUUGAAGAGCUGCUGCUUGAUACACUAAGGGGCAAGGAACAGGAAUCUGGAAAGGGUCAUCUGUGUGGAAUAUUUACCAUGUUCUUGAUACUCUUUCUAAACAUCACAACACUGGCAUCUAGAAGAAAGUUAACGAGUGUUUGUUGAAUGCAUGCUUCAUGUGGGUUAGCUGUUUUCUAACUACCCUUUGGGCUCGGUACUUCUACUUCUCCUAUUUCACAGAUGAGGAGACUGAGUCUUAGAGAAACUAAAGUCACACACUAGCAAGUGGCAGACCCUGGAUCAAGUCUGGAUGCUGCACUUCUUAGUCUGUUGUUUUAGCCAAUCUCAAUUCUCCCCCUCUCAGGUUAAUAGGCUGGAUUUAAAUAAAGAUCAGUGCCUUUCGGAGAAAUCUCACUUUAAAUGUCAAUAGCAGAAUAUUAACUUCUUAUUUCUUUUUUCAUCAUUCUGUAACAACUUAAUCUUUCCCCAGAUAGAUGGUUACUUGGGACCAAGCAUGGGAAAAAGGUCACAUCCACUGAAAGGGUUUGAACAUAGGGCCUUACACACACUAAAGAAGCACUCUACCUCUGAGUCACACCCCAGCUUCUAGUUUUGAAGAAGGAACCAAGUCACUUGCCAUUGAGAUGUCCUGAGCUCGGCUGCUUCUGAUAAGAGGUCCUCAAACCAUGCAGCAGAGAGAUGUACUAAGAUGCGGAGAAGCAUCUAGUACUGCUAGGGGUCUCUAUUCACUGAAGAACUUUUCCGGCCACAUAUAAUCACUCAAAUUUCUUACCCUGGGCACCUGGGCAUGACGCCACUUCUACAAGCUGUGGAGAGGAUAAAGCUUUCUGGGCAGCUGGAAAGGCAAG